GGGGGAGAGCUGGAGACAAAGGAGCUGCAGAUCUGAAUAUCCAGUGAGCUUGGAGCCAUGAAGCUGCCAUGCACUGAUCUUUAAAAGGAAUUGGCCAGGUGAUUUCCCCUUUUUGGGGUUAAAGGAUGGCGAGAUUCUAAGAUCUGGCUGGAGCCAGGAGAACCGAAUUUCACUCCAUACUGGUCUGGUAGGAGUUUGAUGGUCCAUGAACUUUCCCCUCCUCCUCAUUACACAGACACACUACCCAUUAUUCACCCUUUCCAUCAGAGCUGAAUUGCGCUUGGACAUUUUCCCUUAAAGUUUCUGGAUAAACAAACUAUGGACUUUUAAAUGUGUGUCGGUCAGACACUGUGUUGACCAAGCGGGGAAAAGUGAAGGACUCUGUGCACAUUAGAACAUCAACUGCAGUAUUGUGUAUAUAUUUAUUGUAUUUUGGUUUCCAUGUAUGUUUUGUGUUUUGUA